rnacentral:rRNA from 1 species
GAGUGAUCGUGGCUCAGGACGAACGCUGGCGGCGUGCUUAACACAUGCAAGUCGAGCGGUAAGGCCCUUUCGGGGGUACACGAGCGGCGAACGGGUGAGUAACACGUGGGUGACCUGCCCUCAGCUCUGGGAUAAGCCUGGGAAACUGGGUCUAAUACCGGAUAUGACCUCUCAUCGCAUGGUGGGUGGUGGAAAGUUUUUCGGCUGGGGAUGGGCCCGCGGCCUAUCAGCUUGUUGGUGGGGUGAUGGCCUACCAAGGCGACGACGGGUAGCCGGCCUGAGAGGGCGACCGGCCACACUGGGACUGAGAUACGGCCCAGACUCCUACGGGAGGCAGCAGUGGGGAAUAUUGCGCAAUGGGCGGAAGCCUGACGCAGCGACGCCGCGUGGGGGAUGACGGCCUUCGGUUGUAACC